ACGCACGCUGGCGGCGUGCUUAACACCUGCCAGUCGCACGGAAAGGCUCUGCUUUUGUGGGGUGCUCGAGUGGCGAACGGGUGAGUAACACGUGAGUAACCUGCCCUUGACUUUGGGAUAACUUCAGGAAACUGGGGCUAAUACCGGAUAGGAGCUCCUGCUGCUUGGUGGGGGUUGGAAAGUUUCGGCGGUUGGGGAUGGACUCGCGGCUUAUCAGCUUGUUGGUGGGGUAGUGGCUUACCAAGGCUUUGACGGGUAGCCGGCCUGAGAGGGUGACCGGCCACAUUGGGACUGAGAUACGGCCCAGACUCCUACGGGAGGCAGCAGUGGGGAAUAGUGCACAAUGGGCGGAAGCCUGAUGCAGCAACGCCGCGUGCGGGAUGACGGCCUUCGGGUUGUAAACCGCUUUCGCCUGUGACGAAGCGUGAGUGACGGUAAUGGGUAAAGAAGCACCGGCUAACUACGUG
rnacentral:rRNA from 1 species